AUAUGUAAAGUAUUACUGCCGAAGACAGCAGGUGCCGCAAGGCGCAACGUAGAACAACCUGCCGAGGAGAGUAUUAGUGAAUAUGCUAAUUAACACUCUAUGUCUGUGCGGAUAUAGAGUUUUCUUUUUAUAUGU
rfam:Clostridiales bacterium Nov_37_41 Ley3_66761_scaffold_9727, whole genome shotgun sequence.